GCGGAGGUGGAUGGCAUGGUGGUGGCGGAGGUGGUGGAUGGCAUGGUGGAGGCGGAGGUGGAUGGCAUGGUGGCUGCCAUUAUCCACACUGCAAAGAGGGUGCCGGAGGCGAUGAGACUCAUCAAGCCCAGACAGAGACUAAUUCAGGAGAUAAACACAUGCCCUAAAAACCAAGAUACAGACAAAAACCUUACUCAAACACUGGCCUCAUUGUUAAAUAAUUUCCUACUUCAUAGUGGGGAUAUUGAUGUGUUGAAUGCAAAAUUAAUCCUUUAUGUAUUUUGUGUGUUUACGACUCAAUAAGGCAUUUACAGCUAGUGUGUGCUAAGCUCAUCCCUAGUUAUUCCUGGUUUGAUUUGCUGAUUCUCAAUACUGCAGGUGUCAUGUCGUUUGCUUCAUGCAAACAGUUCAAUAAUAGAAUAAAAAGUCGUUUUGUACUUUAAUAAGGCAUUUAUUUAUUUUUAUUGUAGCUUUCUUUGUGCAAGAAAUAUUAUUUCAGCUUUGACUU
rnacentral:lncRNA from 1 species